rnacentral:rRNA from 1 species
AGGAAACUCUGAUGCAGCGACGCCGCGUGAGGGAAGAAGGUCUUCGGAUUGUAAACCUCUGUUGUCAGGGACGAUAAUGACGGUACCUGACGAGGAAGCCACGGCUAACUACGUGCCAGCAGCCGCGGUAAAACGUAGGUGGCAAGCGUUGUCCGGAAUUACUGGGUGUAAAGGGAGCGCAGGCGGAUUUGCAAGUUGGAAGUGAAACUCAUGGGCUCAACCCAUGAACUGCUUUCAAAACUGCAGAUCUUGAGUGGUGUAGAGGUAGGCGGAAUUCCCGGUGUAGCGGUGGAAUGCGUAGAUAUCGGGAGGAACACCAGUGGCGAAGGCGGCCUACUGGGCACUAACUGACGCUGAGGCUCGAAAGCAUGGGUAGCAAACAGGAUUAGAUACCCUGGUAGUCCAUGCCGUAAACGAUGAUUACUAGGUGUGGGUGGAUUGACCCCAUCCGUGCCGCAAGUUAACACAAUAAGUAAUCCACCUGGGGAAGUACCGACCGCAAGGUUGAAGCUCAAAGGAAUUGACGGGGGCCCGCACAAGCAGUGGAGUAUGUGGUUUAAUUCGAAGCAACGCGAAGAACCUUACCAGGUCUUGACAU